GUUUCUGUAGUGUAGUGGUUAUCACACGUUCGCCUCCACACGCGAAAAGUUCCCCGGGUUCGAAACCGGCCAGAAACCA